rnacentral:rRNA from 1 species
AUGUCGCUGAUCCGCCGCAGCAACGUGUUCGACCCCUUCUCCCUCGACUUCUUCGACCCUUUUGACGGCUUCCCCUUCGGCUCCGGCAGCAGCAACAGCGGCGGCAGCCUCGUCCCGCGCACCUCCUCCGACACGGCGGCCUUCGCGGGCGCGCGCAUCGACUGGAAGGAGACGCCCGAGGCGCACGUGUUCAAGGCGGACGUCCCCGGGCUGAAGAAGGAGGAGGUGAAGGUGGAGGUGGAGGACGGCAACAUCCUCCAGAUCAGCGGCGAGCGGAACAAGGAGCAGGAGGAGAAGACCGACACCUGGCACAGGGUGGAGCGCAGCAGCGGCAAGUUCCUCCGCAGGUUCCGGCUCCCGGAGAACGCCAAGGCGGAGCAGGUGAAGGCGUCGAUGGAGAACGGCGUGCUCACCGUCACCGUGCCCAAGGAGGAGGCCAAGAAGCCCGACGUCAAGUCCAUCCAGAUCUCCGGCUAG